ensembl:lncRNA
GGGGCUCGGGGCUUGAGGAAACACGAGGCGGGGGGGAAGGAGGACCCUGACUGCAAGGAACGCCUGCUCUUCCUCCUCCUCCUCUCCCUCCUCCUCCUCCUCGCAGCCGUUGAGACCUCAUGGGCACCCUUGGUUGAGUGCCAAGAAGAGGGAUGGGAGAUGAACAGAUGAUGCUCUCUAACUGGGAGAUGCCCUUUUGUCUAUCUGUCCUCACACAAAAGGAUCAAAACAUGGCACGCCUCGUGCCUGGGGGACACAGAAGGAUCUGGGAGUGGAUCUGCAGCUAGGGUAAGGAAGGUAAUGUGUGGGGCAAAAUGAUGAAG